rnacentral:lncRNA from 1 species
UUCGUGAUCUGCCCGCCUUGGCCUCCCAAAGUGCUGGGAUUAAAGGUGUGAGCCACCACGCCUGGCCGGAUCUACCUUUUUUAAGUGACUCAAGCACAAACACCCCUGGAAACACAUUCCUUGUGGUAACCUGAAACCUCCCAUUUGGGCAAGAUUCUGAUUGAUUUCAGCAGAACAAAGAGACAGUUGCAUCUCAUUUGAAACCCAGAUGAGGAGCUCCAUAUUUCAUUUUAAAUUGGGAGUGAUAAUGGUUGGGUGGUCAAUACUUCAAGAGAAGCGGGAAAAAAGCCCAACAAUAUUGAGUAGUGCUAGUGUACAGUGGCUAUUUUUCUGGGCUGGAACUGGUUAACUAAGAAUUGAAAAGUCACCCUCUGGUAGCCUGAACAGGAACCUGCAGUCUGCAAACACUUAUUCCCAUCAACACUGCUCCAAGGAGGUGCCGAAACGCUGGGUGCCUCAUUCUGAUCUUGCGUCUGUCCUGGUAUGAAUUAACAGAGGGGAACAGGAAGUGGAUCGACACUGUUCAUAAGUAAGGAGGCCGAGCAGGAGUGGGGGGUCCUUCUGCUUUCAAUCAAGAGAGAGGGCACAAUCUGAGGCGUCAUCAGUGCAUCUCAACCAUCGGUAAACCCAGGCUUCUGCAGGGAGCUGGGAUUCUUUAUGGAUGGAAUUACACACUUUGUGAGUGAAAAUUAUUUCUUGUAUAGAAUACCUAUUAGCUUACAGCAAAAAUGUGGGUGGAGGGAAACAAAUGGGACUGAUAAAUUUGGCAUUGGCCCCAAAAGAGAAAUCAUUAUCAUCAUCAUCAUCAUUCUUAUUAUUUAAUAGCAAUUUUUUUUCCAAUUGCCAAUUUGGAAGACCCAGAGAAAGAUACAAAAUCUUUCUCUGGAUACAAAACAUCUCAUGGAAAAAGAUACAAAAACAUCUCAUGGAGAUGUUUAGAAUCCAGGAACUUAGAAGCAAUUUACUCUGUGCCACUGGAUUGUUUGUCUUGUAAUAAGCGCUGCUAGCCUUGCUUCUAAUAUUAUUGACACUGAUCCUUGCUUUGUUGACAUCUUGGGUAGCUACUAUUAAGGGGUAGGAAAUAAUUUGCUUAAUUUCAAUUUACUAAUUCAAUAAGCUUCCCUGUUUACUUUGCUUGCACAACAUGUCUUUGAAAACCAGAUGGUUAAGCCACUUCCUACUCCAGGAAAGAUUUGUAUGUGGGCAUUUUGUCUGAAUCAGAGAAGAUAGAUUUGUCCCAGGGUGGAUGUGGUUAGAGGCAUUGCUGAAUAGGAGCAGAAGUAGAAAACUAGAAAACUGCCAACUUCCUCCCGAGUCACAUCCUCAAGCAUGGCAACAGGAUUCCAUUGGAAAUGAGUUUCAUUGGUAUCCCCCACCAAAAAACACUCAUAUAUAAAUGCAAGCACUAAAGCAGAAGACGUAUUACUUCUUGUUAUUUACCAUUUUAUUUAGACACAUCUCAGUUUCUCUCCUCUCGUGCAAAUCAAUGGAAAUUGCCUGUAUUUUAAGGAGCAUGUUGGAGAUGAGUUGUAUCUUGAAACCUCAUGUUUGUUGAGCAGUUUGAUAUUUUAGCAUUAGAGCCACAAAGACACUAAGCCACCUCAUUGCUAUAAAUCAGGUGUAUUUGAAACUGUAUUACUAUUUAUUAAACUACGGCAUUUAUGAAAAA